UGGCGACCCCUAACCGGGAAAAGCCGAAAGACACAACAAGUAUGCGGCAGCAAACAAGAAUCAACAUUUGCUACUCCCCACCAGUGAUCUGCAUAUUAAUUUAAACUUGAAGUAUUUUUGUCACAGGCACGUGGGUGUGAAAUGCCCCAGGGUAACAGAUUUCAGGCACUUAGCGCAACUGAGUAAUGUUCUGCAUUGUUAAUGAACUGUUUCUGGCUUUGUUGGUGUAUUAAUCCCCUGGAUGCGCAGUAGCAAGCCCUGCCCAAACCCUGCCUAACAUCCGGGAUCAUGGCGAUGUCACUGAACAAUCAUGAAUAAAUAUUUUUUUCAGUU